rfam:Pyrenophora tritici-repentis Pt-1C-BFP supercont1.48 mitochondrial scaffold, whole genome shotgun sequence.
ACGGCCAUAGGAUAAUGGUUAGUCCACUCGUCUUCCAAACGAUUUGUACCGAUUCGAGUUCGGUUGGCCGUA